UACGUAGGGGGCAAGCGUUGUCCGGAAUCAUUGGGCGUAAAGAGCGCGUAGGCGGCCCUGUAAGUCCGCUGUGAAAGUCAAGGGCUCAACCCUUGGAUGCCGGUGGAUACUGCAGGGCUAGAGUUCGGAAGAGGCGAGUGGAAUUCCUGGUGUAGCGGUGAAAUGCGCAGAUAUCAGGAGGAACACCGAUGGCGAAGGCAGCUCGCUGGGACGAUACUGACGCUGAGGCACGAAAGCGUGGGGAGCAAACAGG
rnacentral:rRNA from 1 species